UUAUCCGGAUUUAUUGGGUUUAAAGGGAGCGUAGGCGGGUGCUUAAGUCAGUUGUGAAAGUUUGCGGCUCAACCGUAAAAUUGCAGUUGAUACUGGGUACCUUGAGUGCAGCAUAGGUAGGCGGAAUUCGUGGUGUAGCGGUGAAAUGCUUAGAUAUCACGAAGAACUCCGAUUGCGAAGGCAGCUUACUGGACUGUAACUGACGCUGAUGCUCGAAAGUGUGGGUAUCAAACAGGAUUAGAUACCCUGGUAGUCCACACAGUAAACGAUGAAUACUCGCUGUUGGCGAUACACAGUCAGCGGCCAAGCGAAAGCAUUAAGUAUUCCACCUGGGGAGUACGUCGGCAACGGUGAAACUCGAAGGAAUUGACGGGGGCCCGCACAAGCGGAGGAACAUGUGGUUUAAUUC
rnacentral:rRNA from 1 species